rnacentral:rRNA from 1 species
AUGAACGCUAGCGGCAGGCUUAAUACAUGCAAGUCGUGGGGCAGCAGGUUUGUAGCAAUACAGAUGCUGGCGACCGGCAAACGGGUGCGGAACACGUACAGAACCUUCCUUUGAGCGGGGAAUAGCCCAGAGAAAUUUGGAUUAAUACCCCAUAGUAUAAUGAAGUGGCAUCACUUUAUUAUUAAAGAUUUAUCACUCGAAGAUGGCUGUGCGGCUGAUUAGGUAGUUGGCGGGGUAAAGGCCCACCAAGCCUGCGAUCAGUAACUGGUGUGAGAGCACGACCAGUCACACGGGCACUGAGACACGGGCCCGACUCCUACGGGAGGCAGCAGUAAGGAAUAUUGGUCAAUGGAGGCAACUCUGAACCAGCCAUGCCGCGUGGAGGAUGAAGGUCCUCUGGAUUGUAAACUUCUUUUAUAUGGGACGAAAAAAGGCUUUUCUAAGUCGUCUGACGGUACCAUAUGAAUAAGCACCGGCUAACUCCGUG